rnacentral:rRNA from 1 species
AUACGUAGGGUGCGAGCGUUGUCCGGAAUUACUGGGCGUAAAGAGCUCGUAGGUGGUUUGUCGCGUCGUCUGUGAAAUUCCGGGGCUUAACUCCGGGCGUGCAGGCGAUACGGGCAUAACUUGAGUACUGUAGGGGAGACUGGAAUUCCUGGUGUAGCAGUGAAAUGCGCAGAUAUCAGGAGGAACACCGGUGGCGAAGGCGGGUCUCUGGGCAGUAACUGACGCUGAGGAGCGAAAGCAUGGGUAGCGAACAGGAUUAGAUACCCUGGUAGUCCAUGCCGUAAACGGUGGGCGCUAGGUGUAGGGGUCUUCCACGACUUCUGUGCCGUAGCUAACGCAUUAAGCGCCCCGCCUGGGGAGUACGGCCGCAAGGCUAAAACUCAAAGGAAUUGACGGGG